GGGCUCAGGUCUGGCUUAGAGGGAAGGUGAGCCAACUAGAGGAACAAAUCCAGUUCCAGAUACAAACCCAACUUAAAGGACACACUUAUCCAUGUCACACCUCCACCACCAACCCAUAGCGGCACCCAGCUGCCCAACCUCCAGGAGCUGGGUGUGGAGUACUCCCAGAUGGCGGUCAGGGUGUGGCAGGAGGCGGCUGUGCUGUAUCAGGUCCAGGUUCUCUAUCAUUUAACCACUAUACGUAGCCGCUAAAUUCUUAUACUGGAAAAUGGGCUGAUCUGGACAUGGAUUGGUGUUGAGAUGGAUUCACUUCUGACAAGUCCAGUUCUUCCAUGGUGCAUCAGAGAAUAAAAUCAGUGCUGACUGGAGGAAAAGAAGAAAAUGCUCUAUGAUAUCGACCUGCACUGCUUCAAAUCCCACAUGAUUAAGUACAUACUCACAGACACUG